UACGAAGGGGGCUAGCGUUGUUUCGGAAUUACUGGGCGUAAAGCGCACGUAGGCGGAUAUUUAAGUCAGGGGUGAAAUCCCAGAGCUCAACUCUGGAACUGCCUUUUGAUACUGGGUAUCUUGAGUAUGGAAGAGGUAAGUGGAAUUGCGAGUGUAGAGGUGAAAUUCGUAGAUAUUCGCAGGAACACCAGUGGCGAAGGCGGCUUUACUGGUCCAUAACUGACGCUGAU
rnacentral:rRNA from 1 species